GGGGCCUCAGUCAGGCUGGAGUUGGGAGCAUUUGGAUCCAUAGAUGCCUGGCUCACAUACUGUCAAUCACUCCUGCAACUUCUAACAUGGUAGACAUGAAGGUUGACUUGUUAACUUUUCCAAGGAGAGCAGUACAGAAAUAGUGAUGCCUUGAAUAAUUCUAGUCUCUCAGAGCAGAAGACAAUGGAAUCAAACCAACCCAAACAGACUCAGCAUGGGGCAGAGAACCUAUUUCUAAGGAUCCUGGUCAUUAGAACACUCUUUGCUCCCUCUGACGAAAGGAAACAUGCUUCAGAAGCCAGUCCCUCCUCAUAUGGAUGUUGGUGAACAAGGGUGUACACAAGGACACUGGUGAUGGCCAGGCAAGGCUCAUAGUCUGAGCAAGAGCAGCAGCAGGAAGGGGCAAGAGGAGCAGCCACACACUCUUCUUCAGAGUGCCCUCUUCCUCAGAGCUUCUGUCUGGACUCUGGCAUUUAUUCUCUCUCAAGAAUUCCCAGGAUUAAACCAUCUGCAGCUGGCACAAAUUAUGCCCCUCCUGCAGCACGAGGCAAAAUCGUCUGCUCCUGAAGCAGACCUGUA